ACACAAAAAAAACUUCAAAAACAAAAAAUUAUCUACAAACAUAUAUAUAUAUGUAGUUGUUGCCACUCUAUAUAUAUAUAUAUAUAUAUAUAUAUACACAGUGCGGCUAGAAUGCUUAUGGAAGCACGGAGGGCUCUGUACUUUCACUUUGUUUUCGAUGUUCGGACUUUCGAAUCGACGAUCGGCUCCAUUAGACUUGAUCUAGAGUAUUUAAAGUAUCUAGAAAAUAAAUUUUGCGAUUUUUCGAUAUCAUUUGCCUAGUGAUCGAAAUGGCUCAAAAUCAACGGCUGAAAAUAAAAAUCUUACAAAAUAUGAUGAUAUGACAUUAAAAUUUUGGAUCAAAGUUAUUGAUCUUGUUUUAUAUGGUAUAAAGAAUUUUCUAUCAAAAUUUCAUGUGAUUUGAAUAUUUCUACACUGUUAAACUUGCAACCGGCUCACCACGGCCGUUAAAAUUAUUGAUUUUGAGCCCCUUCGAUCACUAGGCAAAUGAUAUCGAAAAAUCGCAAAAUUUAUUUUCUAGAUACUUCAAAUACUCUAAAUCAACUCUAACGGAGCCGAUCGUCGAUUCGAAAGUCCGAACAUCGAAAACAACUUGAAAGCACGGAGGCCUCCGUGCUUCCAUAAGCAUACCAACCCACUCUAUAUAUAUAUAUACAAAUAUAGAGAGAGAGAGAGAGAGUUGAGCUGGAAUGCUAUCGGUAAUAAAUGGAUUCUUAUCGCCCAUUUAUUUUCGAUGAUGAAACCUCCAAAUCAACUAUUAGCAUUGUUGAAUAUGAUCUAUACCACUCGAAACAUUUAGAAAUCAAAUUUCAUAUUUUUUCGAUAUUAUAUAUUCUCUUGUCCAUCAAAUGGACACAAAAACAUUUAGAUCGCGAAUGUAGAUUUUGUUCUAAAUAGUUUUAAAAAAAAAUUAACCAAAAAUUAACUGAUUUGGAUAUCUUUACACCAUUAAACGAAAAAAUGCAUCAAAUCGACCAUUAAAAUUAUAAAUUUUGAAACCCUUUGAUCAUGAGGUCAAUGAUGUUGAAAAGAUUUAAAAUUUGGUUUUUAGCUAGAUACUUCAAGUGGUAUAAAUUAUGUUCAAUAAUGUUGAUCGUCGAUUUGGAGGUUCCAUUAUUGAAAAUAAAUGGGUGGCAAUGGAGCCUAUUUACUACCGAUUGCAUUCCAGCUCAACUCUCUCUCUCUCUCUCUCUCUCUCUCUCUCUCUCUCUCUCUCUAUAUAUAUAUAUAUAUAUAAUGAAAAAUAAAGUGGAAGUGGUUAUUGAGAGACCAGGUAUGGCUAAUCUGAUCAACUCUAUCAUGUAUGUAAUCGAUCAUUGACCAAA
rnacentral:lncRNA from 1 species